GUAGGCUGGUUUUCCAGGCAAAUCCGGAAAAUCAAGGCUGAGGCGUGAUGACGAGGCACUACGGUGCUGAAGCAACAAAUGCCCUGCUUCCAGGAAAAGCCUCUAAGCAUCAGGUAACAUCAAAUCGUACCCCAAACCGACACAGGUGGUCAGGUAGAGAAUACCAAGGCGCUUGAGAGAACUCGGGUGAAGGAACUAGGCAAAAUGGUGCCGUAACUUCGGGAGAAGGCACGCUGAUAUGUAGGUGAGGUCCCUCGCGGAUGGAGCUGAAAUCAGUCGAAGAUACCAGCUGGCUGCAACUGUUUAUUAAAAACACAGCACUGUGCAAACACGAAAGUGGACGUAUACGGUGUGACGCCUGCCCGGUGCCGGAAGGUUAAUUGAUGGGGUUAGCGCAAGCGAAGCUCUUGAUCGAAGCCCCGGUAAACGGCGGCCGUAACUAUAACGGUCCUAAGGUAGCGAAAUUCCUUGUCGGGUAAGUUCCGACCUGCACGAAUGGCGUAAUGAUGGCCAGGCUGUCUCCACCCGAGACUCAGUGAAAUUGAACUCGCUGUGAAGAUGCAGUGUACCCGCGGCAAGACGGAAAGACCCCGUGAACCUUUACUAUAGCUUGACACUGAACAUUGAGCCUUGAUGUGUAGGAUAGGUGGGAGGCUUAGAAGUGUGGACGCCAGUCUGCAUGGAGCCGACCUUGAAAUACCACCCUUUAAUGUUUGAUGUUCUAACGUUGACCCGUAAUCCGGGUUGCGGACAGUGUCUGGUGGGUAGUUUGACUGGGGCGGUCUCCUCCUAAAGAGUAACGGAGGAGCACGAAGGUUGGCUAAUCCUGGUCGGACAUCAGGAGGUUAGUGCAAUGGCAUAAGCCAGCUUGACUGCGAGCGUGACGGCGCGAGCAGGUGCGAAAGCAGGUCAUAGUGAUCCGGUGGUUCUGAAUGGAAGGGCCAUCGCUCAACGGAUAAAAGGUACUCCGGGGAUAACAGGCUGAUACCGCCCAAGAGUUCAUAUCGACGGCGGUGUUUGGCACCUCGAUGUCGGCUCAUCACAUCCUGGGGCUGAAGUAGGUCCCAAGGGUAUGGCUGUUCGCCAUUUAAAGUGGUACGCGAGCUGGGUUUAGAACGUCGUGAGACAGUUCGGUCCCUAUCUGCCGUGGGCGCUGGAGAACUGAGGGGGGCUGCUCCUAGUACGAGAGGACCGGAGUGGACGCAUCACUGGUGUUCGGGUUGUCAUGCCAAUGGCACUGCCCGGUAGCUAAAUGCGGAAGAGAUAAGUGCUGAAAGCAUCUAAGCACGAAACUUGCCCCGAGAUGAGUUCUCCCUGACUCCUUGAGAGUCCUGAAGGAACGUUGAAGACGACGACGUUGAUAGGCCGGGUGUGUAAGCGCAGCGAUGCGUUGAGCUAACCGGUACUAAUGAACCGUGAGG
rnacentral:rRNA from 1 species